GUCCCUGUCGAUUAGUGGUUAAAUCAUCACGUUGUGGUGAUAUCAGAUCGCGUCCGUGAAGCCGGGAGCUCGAAUCUCCCCAGGGACA